rnacentral:misc_RNA from 1 species
GAAACGCGAUAAGUAAUGUGAAUUGCAGAAUUCAGUGAAUCAUCGAAUCUUUGAACGCACAUUGCGCCCCUUGGUAUUCCAAAGGGCAUGCCUGUUCGAGCGUCAUUUGUACCCUCAAGCUUUGCUUGGUGUUGGGCGUCUUGUCUCCAGUUCGCUGGAGACUCACCUUAAAGUCAUUGGCAGCCCGCCUACUGGUUUCGGAGCGCAGCACAAGUCGCGCCCUCAUCCCGUCAAGGUCAGCGUCCAGUAAGCCUUUUUUUCAACUUUUGACCUCGGAUCAGAUAGGGAUACCCGCUGAACUUAA